rnacentral:rRNA from 1 species
AGUAAUGUAUGGGGAUCUGCCUGAUGGCGGGGGAUAGCUACUGGAAACGGUAGCUAAUACCGCAUAAUGUCUACGGACCAAAGCGGGGGACCUCCGGGCCUCGCGCCAUCAGAUGAACCCAUAUGGGAUUAGCUAGUAGGUGAGGUAACGGCUUACCUAGGCGACGAUCCCUAGCUGGUCUGAGAGGAUGAUCAGCCACACUGGGACUGAGACACGGCCCAG